GAUGAACGCUGGCGGCGUGCUUAACACAUGCAAGUCGAACGAAGCACUUUGGACAGAUUCUUCGGAUGAAGUCCUUAGUGACUGAGUGGCGGACGGGUGAGUAACGCGUGGGUAACCUGCCUCAUACAGGGGGAUAACAGUUAGAAAUGGCUGCUAAUACCGCAUAAGCGCACGGUACUGCAUGGUACAGUGUGAAAAACUCCGGUGGUAUGAGAUGGACCCGCGUUGGAUUAGCUAGUUGGCAGGGUAACGGCCUACCAAGGCGACGAUCCAUAGCCGGCCUGAGAGGGUGGACGGCCACAUUGGGACUGAGACACGGCCCAGACUCCUACGGGAGGCAGCAGUGGGGAAUAUUGCACAAUGGGGGAAACCCUGAUGCAGCGACGCCGCGUGAGCGAAGAAGUAUUUCGGUAUGUAGAGCUCUAUCAGCAGGGAAGAAAAUGACGGUACCUGACUAAGAAGCCCCGGCUAACUACGUGCCAGCCGCCGCGGUAA
rnacentral:rRNA from 1 species